rnacentral:tRNA from 1 species
AAAAAGAUAAGCUAAGUUAAGCUUUUGGGUUCAUACCCCAACUAUAAAGUCAACCUUUUCUUUUUA